GCCAACGUGGCCUAGUGGUUUCAGCGUUGGACUCCAACUCUAGGGACCAAGGUUGGAGUCCCAGCUCGGCC